rnacentral:rRNA from 1 species
GUGCUGAAAGCAUCUAAGCAUGAAGCCCCCCUCAAGAUGAGAUUUCCCAACUUCGGUUAUAAGAUCCCUCAAAGAUGAUGAGGUUAAUAGGUUCGAGGUGGAAGCAUGGUGACAUGUGGAGCUGACGAAUACUAAUCGAUCGAAGACUUAAUCAAAUU